ensembl:lncRNA
GUUCCAGUCUCAGAAGGAACCAACCUCGGUGCCUGCCACAGCCCAGCAGGGGUCUGUUCAUGUGCACCCCAGAUGGCAAUGCCGCCGUGAUGGUGGCCCCCCAGAGCCCAUCAUUAGGAAGAGCAAGCCCAGGCAGAGGGGUGGGACUGAUGCCACCCAGGCAUCGCCUUCUGUGUCCAGGCCAUGGCAGUCCGGCUGCCAGGGAGACAGCUGGGACUGGACCUAUGUCAUGUAUAGUAGGGUGAACCUAUGGUUUUGUGGAGUCAGCAGUCAGGUGCUCUUACCAGAACUGGCUUAAGACCGGUUACUAUGAAUGAGGGGAGGAGGAGGAGAAUCUGGCCAUAUUGUGAUGCUGAAAAUCUGUAUUUGUUCUCUGAUGCCUUCUUCUGAAGUAGCCUCAGAUGUGGUCCCCUGCAGUUCAGCAGAGAUCUGAGGAACUGUCAUGUGCCCCUUCCCUGCUGCCCCCCAAGUCAGUUUCCUGGGGUUGCCAGCACAGAGUACCACUAAACAACAGAUGGUUGGAGUCACUGCUGUGGCACAGCGGCUUCAGAAUCCAGCUUCAGUGGCUCAGGUUGCUGCGGACGUGUGAGUUUGAUCCCAGCCCAACACAGGGUUGAUGUUGUCACAGAUGUGGCUUGGAUUCAAUCCCUGACCCAGGAACUUCCAUAUGCUAAACACACACACACACACACACACACACACACACACACACACACACACACACACACACACACACACACACCCCAGACACUUAUUCUUUCAUAGUUCUGGAGAUCAGAAGUCCAAAAUCAGGGUGCUGGCAGGACCGUGCUCAUCCUGAAGGCUGUAGGAAAGAAUCUUUUCUUGCUUCUUCCUAGCGUCUGGUGGUGGCCAGCAACCUUGACACUCCUAGGCUUGUAGCUACGUCACUGCAGUCUCUGCCUCUGUCUUCCUCUGGGUCUCUGCAUCCCUCCUCUUCUUAUAGGGACACCAGUCCUGUCGGAUGUAGAGCCCAGCCUACUCGAGCAUGACAUCAUCUUAACUUAUGACACUUGCCAUGUCCCUCUUUCCAAAUAAUGUCACAGAUUCCGAGGUUCCAGCAAAGAUGUGAGUUUAGAGAGGGGAGGGGAGGAACACCAUUCACCCUGGUACACGUCUUCAGCCUCCUUUGCUGUCUGAUCUGAUUUCCCUAACCUCCUGCCUGGGCUCCUCUGGCUGCCAUCCCCCCACCUCUGCUUGAGAAGGGGGCUGAUAAACUGUCCUUGGCAAGAUGUAAGCGGCAAUAGGACUUUACACCCUGCUUAGAAAAGGUGGUGAUUUCUUGGUAAAUGAUAAAAUGACCCUGUUACCCCACCCUCCCUUCCUGCCCCCUCCCCCCUCUCCCUUUCCUCUUCUCUAAUCUUCUGACACCCAGAAUCCCUGGUUCAUGUCCCAACCGCCCUUUAAAUUUUUCACUGUGAAGUCACAUGUCCCCUCACUUUUUUUUUUUUUUUUUUUUUUUUUUUUUUUGCUUUUUAGGGCUGCACCUGUGGCAUAUGGAAGUUCCUAAGGUAGGGACUGAAUCAGAGCUGUAGCCACCGGCCCAUGCCACAGCCACAGCCACAGCCACAGCCACACUAGAUCCGACCCGUGUCUGCA